rnacentral:rRNA from 1 species
GCAACGCCGCGUGAGGGAUGACGGCCUUCGGGUUGUAAACCUCUUUUAGUAGGGAAGAAGCGAAAGUGACGGUACCUGCAGAAAAAGCACCGGCUAACUACGUGCCAGCAGCCGCGGUAAUACGUAGGGUGCAAGCGUUGUCCGGAAUUAUUGGGCGUAAAGAGCUCGUAGGCGGUUUGUCGCGUCUGCUGUGAAAUCCCGAGGCUCAACCUCGGGCUUGCAGUGGGUACGGGCAGACUAGAGUGCGGUAGGGGAGAUUGGAAUUCCUGGUGUAGCGGUGGAAUGCGCAGAUAUCAGGAGGAACACCGAUGGCGAAGGCAGAUCUCUGGGCCGUAACUGACGCUGAGGAGCGAAAGCGUGGGGAGCGAACAGGAUUAGAUACCCUGGUAGUCCACGCCGUAAACGUUGGGCGCUAGAUGUAGGGACCUUUCCACGGUUUCUGUGUCGUAGCUAACGCAUUAAGCGCCCCGCCUGGGGAGUACGGCCGCAAGGCUAAAACUCAAAGGAAUUGACGGGGGCCCGCACAAGCGGCGGAGCAUGCGGAUUAAUUCGAUGCAACGCGAAGAACCUUACCAAGGCUUGACAUACACCGGAAACGGCCAGAGAUGGUCGCCCCCUUGUGGUCG